rnacentral:rRNA from 1 species
CCUACGGGCGGCUGCAGUAGGGAAUCUUCGGCAAUGGACGAAAGUCUGACCGAGCAACGCCGCGUGAGUGAAGAAGGUUUUCGGAUCGUAAAACUCUGUUGGUAGAGAAGAACGUUGGUGAGAGUGGAAAGCUCAUCAAUUGACGGUAACUACCCAGAAAGGGACGGUUAACUACGUGCCAGCAGCCGCGGUAAUACGUAGGUUCCGAGCGUGUUCCGGAUUUAUUGGGGGUAAAGAGAGCGCAGGUGGUUUAUUAAGUCUGGUGUAAAAGGCAGUGGCUCAACCAUUGUAUGCAUUGGAAACUGGUAGACUUGAGUGCAGGAGAGGAGGGUGGAAUUCCAGGUGUAGCGGUGAAAUGCGUAGAUAUAUGGAGGAACACCGGUGGCGAAGGCGGCUCUCUGGCCUGUAACUGACACUGAGGCUCGAAAGCGUGGGGAGCAAACAGGAUUAGAUACCCUUGUAGUC